GUAGUUGUGGCUGAGUGGUUAAGGCGAUGGACUAGAAAUCCAUUGAGAGGUCUCCCUGUGCAGGUUCAAAUCCUGCCAACUACG